rnacentral:rRNA from 1 species
GAUGAACGCUGGCGGCGUGCCUAAUACAUGCAAGUCGAGCGAACAGAUAAGGAGCUUGCUCCUUUGACGUUAGCGGCGGACGGGUGAGUAACACGUGGAUAACCUACCUAUAAGACUGGGAUAACUUCGGGAAACCGGAGCUAAUACCGGAUAACAUAUUGAACCGCAUGGUUCAAUAGUGAAAGGCGGCUUUGCUGUCACUUAUAGAUGGAUCCGCGCCGUAUUAGCUAGUUGGUAAGGUAACGGCUUACCAAGGCAACGAUACGUAGCCGACCUGAGAGGGUGAUCGGCCACACUGGAACUGAGACACGGUCCAGACUCCUACGGGAGGCAGCAGUAGGGAAUCUUCCGCAAUGGGCGAAAGCCUGACGGAGCAACGCCGCGUGAGUGAUGAAGGUCUUCGGAUCGUAAAACUCUGUUAUCAGGGAGGAACAAAUGUGUAAGUAACUGUGCACAUCUUGACGGUACCUGAUCAGAAAGCCACGGCUAACUACGUG